rnacentral:misc_RNA from 1 species
UGCUCGCACUCAUACAUCUCU